UACGUAGGGUGCAAGCGUUAAUCGGAAUUACUGGGCGUAAAGCGUGCGCAGGCGGGUAUAUAAGACAGAUGUGAAAUCCCCGGGCUCAACCUGGGAACUGCAUUUGUGACUGUAUAGCUAGAGUACGGCAGAUGGGGAUGGAAUUCCGCGUGUAGCAGUGAAAUGCGUAGAUAUGCGGAGGAACACCGAUGGCGAAGGCAAUCCCCUGGGCCUGUACUGACGCUCAUGCACGAAAGCGUGGGGAGCAAACAGGAUUAGAAACCCGUGUAGUCC
rnacentral:rRNA from 1 species